rnacentral:rRNA from 1 species
UAGUUCGAACCUAGCCAUGCAUGCUAGGAACCCUCCGGCCCCCCGGCUGUUCACGGCCGAGGGGCCUCAGGAAAUCUGCGAACGGCUCCGUACAACUGUUAUAAGCCUACCGUGGGGUGAAGAACGGAUAAGCGGCGGUAAACCUGCACCUAAAACGUAAAUUCCCCACGGGAGAGCUUUCUCUCCCGGGGGGACCUGCUCUACAGUAAGCUACAGCUUGGCGGCGUAGCGAACACGAGGGACUCCAGCCAUCCAGCACCGCAGCCCGGGUAGACCCCCUCGCGGGUCUUCCCUACGUCCGCCCGGGGCAUCUGCCCUGGGCGGGCAGCUGCCCAGCGGGGAAACGGCUGGAGCAUCACCAAAGGUAAUGUAAGGCGCCUAGGCGCAGACCGCAGGGCACGAUGGGUUUCAGGCCUAUCAGCUUGCUGGUAGGGUAUUGGCCUACCAGGGCUGCUACGGGUACAGAGGUCAGGGUUC